rnacentral:lncRNA from 1 species
ACCGUGCACACAAAUUUUAAGCAACUUAGAAAUAAAAUAUAUAGUGAGACAUCUUUAUAACAACAUCCAUAUAUAAUAGUUAUUCAAUAUAAAAGCCAAGUUUUCUCGCAACCAAUCUUUUAUGUUAUGUUAUAAUAUAUGUUCUUUAUAAGAACAUUUCAAUAACAUCCAAAAAAAUAUCAAAACAAACGCAUAUGUUUGACUGUACAAUCAAAAUAGUUUCCCCAUAAAAAUCAGAUCCCAAGAAACUUCCCGAAAGUAAAAUGAGUACCCAAAUUUCCUGCAUCAAAACAGCAAAAAUUCUGGCAUGCAUGCAUGAAUAAGUUUUCAGGAAUAUAUGCAAUACCAAUAAUUCUGGUAUUGACUGCAUGCAGGCAAUACCAACAUGAAUAAUGCAUGUGCUUUCAGAAAGUAGGAAAAGAAAUAAGUUUUCAGUUAGAGCUGGACAGAGUUAUCCGAUACAUAUAAUGAUUGAAAGCAAUAUAUUCGAUGCAAUAGUUGAAAUGCACGCCAGUUGUUCUGGAUACCAUUUUUUUUAAUAAUUAUGAUAUUCCGGUUAGCUUGACUAUUUUCACAAAAUACAUGUUACCUCCCACCAGCAUAAAUAUUAGGGGCGGCUCAAUAGAUAUGGUGGCCUAAAGCUAAACCUUAAUAAGAGGUCUAAAAUAUAUAUAUUCAAUAAAAUUCUUUUAAAUAUUUAUGUGAAAUGAUAGUUUAAAAAAUAUUUCUAUCUUUUAUAUAUAAGGAACAAUAAAAAAAAAUAUGCAACUCAUAUUAUCAAUACCCUUGCUUUGAAGCCUCCAAUAAUUUAAGGAAGUCUGAUCUUUUAUGAAUCGAUCUGCAUAUAAAAUCAACUUCUCUUAGGCUUGAGCCGGGCAAUAGAUACUAGAUAACUUCGUUCACCAAUACUUGAACAGAUAAAAAAAAAUCACUUAACGUUUUUUCAUCUACUAAUAUUUAAGUGUGGGACCUUAUAAUUUUCAACUCACACAAUUAAUUCGUAUUUUGUGUGCGACACUAUAGUUAUUUUAAAAAAAGGAAGCAAGUGGCUAGUUUUAACUUUUGACUCCAUAUUUAUACUUGAUAUAUAUUGUACUUUUGUGUAUGGCAUCUUUCAUUUAAAAAGAAGCUCAAACAGUGCUAAGACAGCCAAAUCAAAAGAAGAUUAUGUUUGUUACUAGUUGUUUUCUUAUCUUUCACUGCUUUCUUCCAAUUAGUUCCAUUUAAAUAAUCAAAAGGAAGAUAUAGGUGUCUAAUCUUACCUUUCCAAUCCUGUCUUUUUGGCCAAAAGCAAAAUUACAUUUGCCUAUCAGACAAACAAAAUACUAACUUUUCUGACUAUAAAAUUGCAUGUUGAUCCCAUAUGUUUAACUUUAAACUAACAGUGUCAGUGAAAAAAGAAGAACUUGACCCUGUAAAGUAAAUGCAAACAUAAGUUAUUUACAUUUUCAAACAUCAAACUUAAGUAUUAGCAACCAAAGAAUGUGCUUAUCCACUACCAUAUAAGAAUCUUACAGCGAAAAGAAUGACAAAAAUUCUAACCAAGCAGUGUUUUAAUAAGAAUAAUUGAGCAUAUUAUUAAAGAAGUCAUGAGUGCAGAAUUAUCAAACUUAUAAAAAGGGUCAAAUUUACUCUUAUACUAUCUGAAAUAGAACUCUACCUUCUCGUACAUUUUGUUGUCUAAUAUUACCUCGCUCAAGUCUCAAUUUUUCCCUUGACUCCUAAUAACACUUCAAUUUAAGGAUCAUUUUAAACCAUAAUUAAUAUUUGAGCAGUAAAGUUGGAUCUUUUUUUUUUCGAAAAAAUCACAUAUAGUCCACUCAUUUCACAUUAGGCACUGUCACUGAUAAGGGUAAGUAUGAGAUAAUUUGGUAAUAACAAGGGUAUGAAUAAACCAAAAGUGUGAUAGAUUGACGGCAAUAUUAGCAAUUUCUAAACGUACAUGGCAAAUUUAAAACCUUUCCCUUAAACUUAAGAUGUCACAGCUGGCUAGCUGAUUGCCUAGGAGUCAGCUUCUGUAAUACCAGCUAAUUUAACACAUGAAUCUAUGUAUUUAAAUUGAUUGGAUGAAUGCUACAACUGCAAAAAAACAAUAUAAUUGGAAUAAAUUGUGUUGUACAUACUAUUGAUUAAUCGUUUUCAGUACUAAUCGGUGAUGACCUGGCACAGGAUAUAUA